UACGUAGGGUGCAAGCGUUGUCCGGAAUUAUUGGGCGUAAAGAGCUCGUAGGCGGUCUGUCGCGUCGGCUGUGAAAACUCGGGGCUCAACCCCGAGCCUGCAGUCGAUACGGGCAGACUAGAGUGCUGUAGGGGAGACUGGAAUUCCUGGUGUAGCGGUGAAAUGCGCAGAUAUCAGGAGGAACACCGGUGGCGAAGGCGGGUCUCUGGGCAGGAACUGACGCUGAGGAGCGAAAGCGUGGGGAGCGAACAGG
rnacentral:rRNA from 1 species